rnacentral:rRNA from 1 species
AUUGAACGCUGGCGGCAGGCCUAACACAUGCAAGUCGAGCGGAGCGGCGGACGGGUGAGUAAUGCCUAGGAAUCUGUCUGGUAGUGGUGGAUAACGUCCGGAAACGGGCGCUAAUACAGCAUAAUAUCAGAUGAGUCUAGGUCGGAUUGGCUAGUUGGUGGGGUAAAGGCCUAUAAAGGCGACGAUCCGUAACUGGUCUGAGUGGAUGAUCAGUCACACUGGAACUGAGACAAGGUCCAGACUCCUACGGUAGGCAGCAGUGGGGAAUAUUGGACAAUUGGCGAAAGCCUGAGCCAGCCAUGCCGCGUGUGUGAAGAAGGUCUUCGGAUUGUAAAGCACUGUAAGUUGGGAGGCGUUACCAACAGAAUAAGCACCGGCUAACUUCGUGCCAGCCGCCGCGGUAAUAC